GGCCUCGUAGCUCAGCGGAAGAGCGCUAGUUUCCGAUGCUAGAAGUCUUGAGUUCGAACCUCAACUGGGUCA